GAUAAGUUGAGGGCCUUUGUUAAGGACAGCCUCCAGGCCUCAGUUAGGGACAGGUUCACAGCCUCGGGACUAAAUUCAGGGCCUUAGUUAGGGACAGCAUCAGGGAUUUAGUUAGCAUAAGAGGCUCGACAUUAGCUAAAGACAAGGUUAGGUUAAGGUCUAGGGAUAGUGUCAGGACAUGACCUAGGGAUAGUGCCAAGAUCUUAGUUACUUAGAGCAUCAGGGCCGAAUUUAGGACCAGUGUCAGGGCUUCAGGUAGGGACAGCCUCACAGCCAGACUUAGGAAGAGUGACAGGGCUUGAGUGAGGCCUAGCGUCAGGGCCUUAGCUAGGGACAGUAUCAGGGCAUGACUUAGGAGCAGCAUAAGGGCCUCGGUAGGAUCAGCCUCAGGGGCUUUGCUAAAGCCAUUAUGAGGGCCUCUGUUAGGGACAGCCUCGGGGCCUCACUUAGGGACAGCGUCAGGGCUUACUUAGGGACAGUUUCAGGACCUUGGUAAGAGAUUGGUCAGGAAAUUAGUUCAGGAUAGUGUCAGGACAUUAGAUAUUGAGGGCAGCAGGGCCUUAGUUAGAGACAGUGUCAGGGCCUGUGUUAGGACUAGCAUCAGAGCCUCUGUUAGGUACCGUGUCAGGGCCUGAGUUAGGAAUAGUGUUAGGGCAUUAGUGAGGGACAGUUCUGGGCCGGAUUUAGGACGAGCAUCUAGGCCUUAGUUAGGGACAUUGUCAGGGCCUUGGGACUAAAUUCAGGGUCAGUGUUAGGCACAGUGUAAGGGCUUCAGUUAGCAUAAGAGGCAGGACAUUUGCUAGGGACAGGGUUAGGGUAAAGUUUAUGGAUCGUGUCAGGAAAUGACCUAGGGAUAGUGUCAAGACCUUAGUCACUGAGAGUAUCAGGGCCUUAUUUAAAACCAGUAUCAUGGCUUCAGGUAGGGACAGCAUCAGAGCCUGACUUAGGGAGAGUGACAGGGCGUGAGUGAGGCGUAGCGUCCGGCCCUUAG